rnacentral:rRNA from 1 species
UACGGAGGGGGCAAGCGUUAUUCGGAAUUAUUGGGCGUAAAGGGCGCGUAGGCGGCUAGAUGUGUCAAAGGUGAAAUCCCUCGGCUCAACUGAGGAACUGCCUUUGAAACUGUCUGGCUUGAGGCCGGGAGAGGGUAGCGGAAUUCCCAGUGUAGCGGUGAAAUGCGUAGAUAUUGGGAGGAACACCAGUGACGAAGGCGGCUACCUGGACCGGUUCUGACGCUGAGGCGCGAAAGCGUGGGUAGCAAACAGG